CUAAAAAAAAUAGAAUAUGUGUUUCUUGUUUCUUAUAUUUUGUGCAAUGGUUUUAUUCAUAUUUGAUCACUCUGUGGAGUAUUCAUCUUCGUUCCGUCUUCAUUUCCCGGUGCAUAUUCGUCCUUGAAUUUACUUUCGGAGCUGCAAAUCCAGUCCGGUGCUCUCGAUCGGUCGCUUUCCAAACUCAAUGAGGAGCUCCUGCAUCAAUUGACUCAACGGUCUUCCCACUCGAAUCGUGUCGGAUCACUCUUCACUAAUACGCACUCACAGUUGGAUGACCUUCACCGUUCCACCGCUCUUUCCCCGCCAGGGGACGGGUUGAGGAGAGGGAUGUGGGAAGAGUUGCAGACAUUGGCCAAGGAAGUAGCCAGAGUAGAAACCGUGAAAAAUUAUGCAGAGACUACAUUGAAGCUCUGACAUGUUGGUUGGUGACCUUGAGGAUGAUGUAUCUACAGUUGUGAAUCGAACAUUGAGGAAGCAUCCAUCCACCAAAAGUUCAGAAGUAAGUUCACUUUAGAGAGUUGUUUGUCGAUGUCAUUAGCUCCUUGGAAUCAUUGGUGUGCAUAAUCUGAUCAUAGUUGCAGUUAGAUUAUACGACAAAACGUUCUUAAAUCUCUAUCAAGUUUCAAUUGUAGACAUAUUCACAUUCAAUUUGACAGCUAAACAAUGUCAAACAUUUUUGAAUAAUGUAAACUUAAUCAUGCAUUCUCUUCAUUUCGAGCAGUUGCUUUAAAAACUCUCAACUCGACAGAAGAUUUACUUAGUACUGUUAUAUAGAACAAAAGGCAAUGGCAGGACAAGAGUGAAGAAGAUGUACUUAAAUUCUUUGAAUGAAAUUCAAUGGUCUUGUUGAGCUAAUAAAUAUGUUCGUUAAAUUUUGUCAAUUAGAGCUCCUGGAUCCAAUAUCUGCUCCAUGAUAAACUGAAACUAUAUUGUCCCGACCGGCGCCUGCUGAUUACAUUCUUUCAUCUUUUGAUCCUAGAAUUCUUGUGAAUAUGAACUUGAACUGAUUGCUGCUUUCACUAUGAACUUGGGAAAAUGGACGAAAUUUUACUAUAUCAGGAACAAAGGGGAAUUGAACAUGCUUCUGUUUCAUUACUCAAUGUUGGGAAAUUACAGAAAGUUGCUAGACCUACUUCCCCUUGAUAUCAUAAAGUGUACGUACAAGGAAAGUGGUUGAAAUUGAGUCCAACCAUGAUCAACCAGUUGUUACAACUUCCACCCGAAGACAAGGAACACAUGCUAUCCCAUUACCUUUACGAGCAUACUAAUGAGAUUGCUCGCUUUGUUACUACAGAUAAAGCUACAACUUUUGGGCGUGUAUGCCGAUGAAAACAUCAGCCCUAUCCAUGAAAUUCCAAUGUCUAUACUAUUUAUGUGCAUUGAAUGUGUUUUUUACUGUAACAAAUUUUGGUAACUUUUUUUAAUUGAUAAUAUUUGAAAAAUUUCAAUUUUGGCUGUGUUGUCAUGAAGAAGAUGCUCAAUUUUUUUCCUCAGCUCCAACUCUGCUCAAUAUUUAAAAAUAUGAGCCAUUUUUUAGUUAUGUGUCUUGAUCAAUUGUUUGCCUUGCUCCUAUUAAGAGUCGGCUGUUGAUCUUUCCUAGUUCAAUCUAACUUGUAGAGGCUAUAUACAACAUUUUCUAUUUUCUAUGAAGCGGAGCCCCUUGAUCCUGCUGCACAAGUUCGUUUGUGCCGUGAAAUGCUUAUAGAGGUCUUGCACGAGCAAAUUAACAAUCAUGUCUACCCAAAUGAUUGUGUAGAAAAGAAAGAUAGGAAGAACAUUAAGUCAUCUGCUUCAUGCUCUAAUUGUUUCAGCUGAUCCCAUUGAGGUUGUCGAGGAUGAUGAGGAAGCCAUCCCAUAAAGCUACCUUUUUAGCCUAUGCUGCUAGUCAGGGUUCGACCAGCAUGUCGGAAAGGGGAAGCUGGAAUUGAGGGGGAGUACUGUUGGAGGACGUCUGCCGGAAUUGAUGUUUGUCUAUGUUUGCUUUGAUUCAUUUGUUAUUCUUUUGUGUUGUUUCUUGCCGAGUAUUUUGUACUUUGAUGGAUUGGUUUACGGCCUUGGCUGUAGUUUGAGUAUGUCAAGGUUGCCUGUAGCCUUUUUGUUAUUUAGUAGUAAGUGUUGGGACUCGGGGUCGACACCAAAAUGGAAAUAUGUAGUAAGUGUUGCAGAAUAAAAUGUGUUUGUUUGUGGUAAUAGAAAACGAUUUGUUUUUCAUAUUCAGUUUGUGUUAGAGACAACAUAAGUGAAAAUAUAUGUUUGUU